rnacentral:misc_RNA from 1 species
GAUGAAGAACGCAGCGAAAUGCGAUAAGUAAUGUGAAUUGCAGAAUUCAGUGAAUCAUCGAAUCUUUGAACGCACAUUGCGCCCGCCAGCAUUCUGGCGGGCAUGCCUGUUCGAGCGUCAUUUCAACCCUCGAGCCCCCCCGGGGGCCUCGGUGUUGGGGGACGGCACACCAGCCGCCCCCGAAAUGCAGUGGCGACCUCGCCGCAGCCUCCCCUGCGUAGUAGCACACACCUCGCACCGGAGCGCGGAGACGGUCACGCCGUAAAACGCCCAACUUCUUAGAGUUGACCUCGGAUCAGGUAGGAAUACACGCUGAACUUAAGCAUAUCAAUAAGCGGAGGA